rnacentral:rRNA from 1 species
GACGAACGCUGGCGGCGUGCUUAACACAUGCAAGUCGAACGGAAAGGCCCUGCUUUUGCGGGGCGCUCGAGUGGCGCACGGGUGUGUAACACGUGAGUAACCUGUCCCUGUCUUUGUGAUAUCUUCAGGAGACUGCGGCUAAUACCGGAUAGGAGCUCUUGCUGCAUGGUGGUCGUUGGAAAGUGUCGGCGGUGUGGGAUGGAUUCGCGGGUUAUCAGCUAGUUAGUGGAGUAGGUGCUUACCAAGGCUUCGACGGCUAGCCGGCCUGGGAGGGUAAACGGCCACAAUGGGACUGAGGGAGGGCGCAGACGCCUACGGGAGGCAGCAGGGGAGAGUAUGGCAGAGUGGGCGGGAGCCUGAUGCGGCGGCGCCGCGUGCGGAAAGACCGCCUACGGGUGAUAAACCGCUGUCGCCUGUGACGAAGCGUUAGUGACGGUAACGGGUAAAGAAGCACCGGCUAACUACGUG